UGGGUAAUCCAAGCCUCGGCAGGUACAGUUCCUCCCUCAGCCCAGUGCAGUUGCAUCUGACUUACGAAACUUCAGUGACACCUGCUCUGUGCCAGACACUGAAGAUGGAGCAGUGAACAGCACUGACCCAGCCUGUCCUCCUGUUGCCUGCAGGCCAGAAGCAAGGUCUCGCUGUGUUACCCGGGCUGGAGUGCAGUGGCUACUUACAGGCAUGAUCAUAGCAUACUGCAGCCUCGAACUCCUGGACUAAAGCAGUUCUCC
rnacentral:lncRNA from 1 species